rnacentral:rRNA from 1 species
UACGGGAGGCAGCAGUGGGGAAUAUUGCACAAUGGGCGCAAGCCUGAUGCAGCGACGCCGCGUGGGGAUGACGGCCUUCGGGUUGUAAACUCCUUUCGCAACCGACGAAGCUUUUGUGACGGUAGGUUGAGAAGAAGCACCGGCUAACUACGUGCCAGCAGCCGCGGUAAUACGUAGGGUGCGAGCGUUGUCCGGAAUUACUGGGCGUAAAGAGCUCGUAGGUGGUUUGUCGCGUCGUUUGUGGAAUACCGCAGCUUAACUGCGGGGUUGCAGGCGAUACGGGCAUAACUUGAGUGCUGUAGGGGAGACUGGAAUUCCUGGUGUAGCGGUGGAAUGCGCAGAUAUCAGGAGGAACACCGAUGGCGAAGGCAGGUCUCUGGGCAGUAACUGACGCUGAGGAGCGAAAGCAUGGGGAGCGAACAGGGAUUAGAUACC